rnacentral:lncRNA from 1 species
UGCUAAGCCGCUCGAUCUGUUCGAUCAUGUACAAUACAUGAUCAGUGAUUGAUGCUCCUUCUCGCAUAUGGACAUUGAAGAUAGCACAGGAAGUUUUAUGUAUGUCAAAAGACUCAUUCAACUUUUAAAUGAUCUCCUCAGGCCGUGGAUCUUCAGAUUGACAACUAAGCUCAUCAUUCAUAGCUGCCCUCAUGACACAACGCACCAUUAUGCGGUCAUUGAGCUACUUUGGAUAAGUGUCUCUCACUACACUAUGUGCAUUGACCACA